UACGUAGGGGGCGAGCGUUAAUCGGAAUUACUGGGCGUAAAGCGUGCGCAGGCGGUGAUGUAAGACAGAUGUGAAAUCCCCGGGCUCAACCUGGGAACUGCAUUUGUGACUACAUCGCUGGAGUGCGGCAGAGGGGGAUGGAAUUCCGCGUGUAGCAGUGAAAUGCGUAGAUAUGCGGAGGAACACCGAUGGCGAAGGCAAUCCCCUGGGCCUGCACUGACGCUCAUGCACGAAAGCGUGGGGAGCAAACAGG
rnacentral:rRNA from 1 species